AAUUCCCGGAGUCAGGUGACCUGGCCCGGGCACUGCUCCCCGGACCUGCGGGAGGUGCUCUUGGACCGCCCACGCCCGGUCCCGGGGCGAGUCCAGGACGUCCACGUUCAGUUUUGAUUUCUGCGGAUCACGGGAUCCUUCUGCGUGAAUCUGUCUCACACCUUAACUUGAAGUUAGUGGGAACCACGGUAUGCCUGUCCCGCCGCUGGGGAAGAGAUGAGGUCCCGAAAAGUACUCGUUCCUGGCCUUUUAUAAGAAAACCACCUUCUUGUUUUUACGGUAAAGAAUUCUCUAAUCAUUCUCUUGUCGCGCCACUACGUUGUAAACUCCAGAGUGUGGUCAUCUAGCACCUAGUAGGACUUCAAGAAUGAAAUGCAGUGAUUGGUGUUUGCCUACCCGAGGAUCUCCAUCUUUAUCCUUGCUUCCUGGCCAUGAAGCAAGCAGGGUGACUGUGCCAUGAGCGCUGGCCAUCAUGCCACACUUUGCCACAAGCCCACGAACGCCGUGACCAGGCAUUGUGGCCUGCAGUCGCUGUACCUGUGAAUUGAAAUAAGACUUUCAGCCAAGAGCAACUGCACGUGCCAGUAAUCUCAGCUCUUGGCAGGAGAAUCAGGAGUACAAAGUCAUCUUUAUCUUCAUGAUGAAUUCAAGGCCAGAUCGGGCUACACGAGACCUCAUCUCAAAUGUCCAAAUUAAUUAAUUAAAGCUUAUCUUUUAAUA